AUGAACGCUGGCGGCGUGCCUAAUACAUGCAAGUCGAACGCUUUGUGGUUCAACUGAUUUGAAGAGCUUGCUCAGAUAUGACGAUGGACAUUGCAAAGAGUGGCGAACGGGUGAGUAACACGUGGGAAACCUACCUCUUAGCAGGGGAUAACAUUUGGAAACAGAUGCUAAUACCGUAUAACUAUGACAACCGCAUGGUUGUUAUUUAAAAGAUGGUUCUGCUAUCACUAAGAGAUGGUCCCGCGGUGCAUUAGCUAGUUGGUAAGGUAAUGGCUUACCAAGGCGAUGAUGCAUAGCCGAGUUGAGAGACUGAUCGGCCACAAUGGGACUGAGACACGGCCCAUACUCCUACGGGAGGCAGCAGUAGGGAAUCUUCCACAAUGGGCGAAAGCCUGAUGGAGCAACGCCGCGUGUGUGAUGAAGGGUUUCGGCUCGUAAAACACUGUUGUAAGAGAAGAAUGACAUUGAGAGUAACUGUUCAAUGUGUGACGGUAUCUUACCAGAAAGGAACGGCUAAAUACGUGCCAGCAGCCGCGGUAAUACGUAUGUUCCAAGCGUUAUCCGGAUUUAUUGGGCGUAAAGCGAGCGCAGACGGUUAUUUAAGUCUGAAGUGAAAGCCCUCAGCUCAACUGAGGAAUUGCUUUGGAAACUGGAUGACUUGAGUGCAGUAGAGGAAAGUGGAACUCCAUGUGUAGCGGUGAAAUGCGUAGAUAUAUGGAAGAACACCAGUGGCGAAGGCGGCUUUCUGGACUGUAACUGACGUUGAGGCUCGAAAGUAUGGGUAGCAAACAGGAUUAGAUACCCUGGUAGUCCACCCCGUAAACGAUGAGUGCUAGGUGUUUGAGGGUUUCCGCCCUUAAGUGCCGCAGCUAACGCAUUAAGCACUCCGCCUGGGGAGUACGACCGCAAGGUUGAAACUCAAAGGAAUUGACGGGGACCCGCACAAGCGGUGGAGCAUGUGGUUUAAUUCGAAGCAACGCGAAGAACCUUACCAGGUCUUGACAUCCCUUGACAACUCCAGAGAUGGAGCGUUCCCUUCGGGGACAAGGUGACAGGUGGUGCAUGGUUGUCGUCAGCUCGUGUCGUGAGAUGUUGGGUUAAGUCCCGCAACGAGCGCAACCCUUAUUACUAGUUGCCAGCAUUCAGUUGGGCACUCUAGUGAGACUGCCGGUGACAAACCGGAGGAAGGUGGGGAUGACGUCAAAUCAUCAUGCCCCUUAUGACCUGGGCUACACACGUGCUACAAUGGCGUAUACAACGAGUUGCCAACCCGCGAGGGUGAGCUAAUCUCUUAAAGUACGUCUCAGUUCGGAUUGUAGGCUGCAACUCGCCUACAUGAAGUCGGAAUCGCUAGUAAUCGCGGAUCAGCACGCCGCGGUGAAUACGUUCCCGGGUCUUGUACACACCGCC
rnacentral:rRNA from 1 species